UACGAAGGGGGCUAGCGUUGUUCGGAUUUACUGGGCGUAAAGCGCACGUAGGCGGAUCGUUAAGUCGGGGGUGAAAUCCUGGAGCUCAACUCCAGAACUGCCUUCGAUACUGGCGAUCUUGAGUCCGGAAGAGGUGAGUGGAACUCCUAGUGUAGAGGUGGAAUUCGUAGAUAUUAGGAAGAGCACCAGUGGCGAAGGCGGCUCACUGGUCCGGUACUGACGCUGAGGCACGAAAGCGUGGGGAGCAAACAGG
rnacentral:rRNA from 1 species